rnacentral:rRNA from 1 species
GGGACACGUGGUAUCCUGUCUGAAUAUGGGGGGACCAUCCUCCAAGGCUAAAUACUCCUGACUGACCGAUAGUGAACCAGUACCGUGAGGGAAAGGCGAAAAGAACCCCGGCGAGGGGAGUGAAAAAGAACCUGAAACCGUGUACGUACAAGCAGUGGGAGCCUCUUUUAUGGGGUGACUGCGUACCUUUUGUAUAAUGGGUCAGCGACUUAUAUUCUGUAGCAAGGUUAACCGAAUAGGGGAGCCGAAGGGAAACCGAGUCUUAACUGGGCGUUAAGUUGCAGGGUAUAGACCCGAAACCCGGUGAUCUAGCCAUGGGCAGGUUGAAGGUUGGGUAACACUAACUGGAGGACCGAACCGACUAAUGUUGAAAAAUUAGCGGAUGACUUGUGGCUGGGGGUGAAAGGCCAAUCAAACCGGGAG